CAUUUUAGCUUUGCCAUCCGCGGAUGGCUUGAGUGUUAACCGGCUCGGUGGACCGUUUGCCUUUCUGCGAGGGCAGCGGCUUCCUCUAGAAUAAAGAAUGAAGAAAAUUGAAAUGAUCUCUGAAACUCGAGAAUAGUUAUGUAAAAGAGAAAAAACAAAGUCUAUCGUUCAAAGGCUACUGAACCAGGAAACAGGCAGCCCGCGUUAAAAUCCCAGCUCUGGGAUCAACUGGUUAGAUUAUUUUCAUUCAGGCAUCUUUUCUUUCUGCACUACUUCAUCUACCAAUUGCUGACAUUGAAUGAACCUUUACAGUGUUCCAGGUACUGUUUUAAGAGAUUUUCUAUACUCAAAUAACAUUUUUGAAAGAAAAAGUGAAAUAUAGGCCUACAUGUUCAGCCUCAACGUGAACGUGAUGAGGAUGAAGACCUUUAUGAUAAUCCACUUUCACUUAGUGAAUCGGGAUUGGACUGCUGCAUUCUAAAAAUAAUGGUGAGAAGAAUGAAUAAAUUAGAGUUUACUAUGUAAUAAAACCUUCUAAAAAAGAGGAGAGGUAGCAGAAUUUACAAGAAGGUUAAACCUGACCUUACUGAAGAGAAUGAUACCCUCAUAGCAGCGCAUCUUCUUUGCUCACAGAAAGCUCCUUGGACAAACGUGUUUUGAGUUUCAAGUGAGCAAACCUUCAAUGUGUCUGCCAUUUUGGGGAAGAAGUUGUAACUUGGAGGGAAGGUAGAGGGAUUUAUUAUGAGAGCUUUGCUAGCAGACAUCUCAUUCUUUAAGACAAAAUCAACGCACAAACAUAAUUGGUCAAAGGAAGAAAGCUACAAAACCAAUUCAAUAACAUCUGAAGCCUGAGAGGAAAAUGAAAGACAAGAGGCUGUGGCUGUAGCUGUGUCUGCUGACAACAGGAUAAAAAUGGUUGCAUUGAGAGUGAGCUGCAUUUUCACCAGGCAGAGCAAACUGAGAGCAAAGCUGUGUGUUUCUUGGAAAUCAAAAGAGGACUCCAAGAAAAGAAGCUUUUAAGAGGACUGGCUGGAGAGUCAAAGAAGAUCCAUUAGCUUCUGGACCACUGAAAACCUAAGGGCUGAUGGUGGGGCGGGGUAAGUGGCCGGCAGCAGGGAGACAUUUUCUGUAUCUAGGAUGGUAUAGAAAAGACCCCCACUGGACAGAUCUACAAAGAACAACGAAAGAGUCUCAUGGUAGAACAGGUCAGCUCUGGACAUCAUUCAAAUCCAGGGGAGCCUCUUAUACUGGAUUGCAAUUGUGUUGGGCAUGUACAAUGGUGUUCUUUUUCUCUAAUGGCUUCUUUCUUCUGGUCAGUCUCUGGAAGGGGUGAAAGAGUGAGAAAUAGUAGCCAGCAAGUGUAGAAAGAGAUGUGGAAGAGAGAACGGGGAAACAGAAAUUGCAUUUCCCCCACGUUCCAAAUGUAGGUUAUCCGGGUUAAAUGUAGGCCCCACCUGACUAGGCAAAGAUUUUUUCCUUUGUUGUGAGUUUGAAAAGAACUAAACAUCAUACUGAAGUGGAAUUAUUGAAAUUGGAUAGACCCAGGUUCAAAUGUUGACUCAGUUAUGUAACAUCUUGUGAAUUUUGACAAGUUCCUUAACUCCACUGAGUCUGUUUUUAUACCCAUGAAAUGGAUGUAGGAUUGUUAUGAACAUUAAUUGAAAAAUUAUAUAUAAAAUAAGUGUCCAGCAUAGUUCCUGGCACAUACUAGUGCUUGAAAACUACCAAUCAACUUCAUCAAUUUGUGUUAUGCCCUGCAUGGGCACAUAUUUGUCCUGAUACUCUUCAAAAUGUAGAAGUACCCACAGAAAAAUUGUCUCAGUUCAAGCACAGUAUUAUUAAUAUUCUACUGAGUACUAAGUAUGGUCGUUAAUAGUCUAAUAUGAGGAAGUCAAAACAGUCUCUGGAAAAAGUCUUUCUGCAAGCUUUUUGAAGCUUCAGGGAUUGCUACAAAGACUGGAAAAUCGAUCUUGAACUCAGCCUUUUAAUUUCUUUUCAUGAUUACUGUUCUCAAAUGGAGAAUGCAAUUAAAAUUAAUGCUGUCUUAGUUCACUUGCCUCAAAAUAAACAUUGAUCAAAUUCUAUGUGAA
rnacentral:lncRNA from 1 species